rnacentral:rRNA from 1 species
GUGUCAGCAGCCGCGGUAAGACGUAGGAUGCAAGCGUUGUCCGGAAUUAUUGGGCGUAAAGAGUUCGUAGGCGGUUACUUAAGUCUGGUGUUAAAGACGGGAGCUCAACUCCCGCAUGGCAUUGGAAACUGGGUGACUAGAGUGUGGUAGAGGUCUCGGGAAUUCCAGGUGUAGCGGUGAAAUGCGUAGAUAUCUGGAGGAACACCAGUGGCGAAAGCGCGAGACUGGGCCAUAACUGACGCUGAGGAACGAAAGCCAGGGUAGCAAAAGGGAUUAGAUACCCCUGUAGUCC